UCUGUGAAUAACGUUUUAGACAAGAUGUCUGCAUUGGGACCUGGACAAAAUGAAGAUGCAGGAUCACCUCGGGAUUUGGAGAGUAUCUCCCUGAAUUUUCCACAGAAUCAUGGUGGUGAUUUAUGUGGGUCUGAAGUUAACAAACAAAAAAAUACAGCCAAUGGACAAGUAGAAGCAGAAGAAGACCUAGAAGUGACAUCGGAGGAUGAGCAAGAAAG